rnacentral:rRNA from 1 species
AGAGUUUGAUCAUGGCUCAGAUUGAACGCUGGCGGCAGGCCUAACACAUGCAAGUCGAGCGAGAAAGCUCCUUCGGGGGCGAGUAGAGCGGCGGACGGGUGAGUAACACGUAGGAAUUUGCCCAGUAGUGGGGGACAACAUGUGGAAACGCAUGCUAAUACCGCAUACGCCCUAAGGGGGAAAGCAGGGGAUCUUCGGACCUUGUGCUAUUGGAUAAGCCUGCGUCGGAUUAGCUAGUUGGUGGGGUAAAGGCCUACCAAGGCGACGAUCCGUAGCUGGUCUGAGAGGAUGAUCAGCCACACUGGGACUGAGACACGGCCCAGACUCCUACGGGAGGCAGCAGUGGGGAAUAUUGGACAAUGGGGGCAACCCUGAUCCAGCCAUGCCGCGUGUGUGAAGAAGGCCUUAGGGUUGUAAAGCACUUUCAGUAGGGAGGAAAAGUUGGUGGUUAAUAACUGCCAGCCCUGACGUUACCUACAGAAGAAGCACCGGCAAACUCCGUGCCAGCAGCCGCGGUAAUACGGAGGGUGCGAGCGUUAAUCGGAAUUACUGGGCGUAAAGCGCGCGUAGGCGGCCUGAUAAGUUGGAUGUGAAAGCCCUGGGCUCAACCUAGGAACUGCAUUCAAAACUGUCGGGCUAGAGUAUGGUAGAGGAUAGUGGAAUUUCCGGUGUAGCGGUGAAAUGCGUAGAGAUCGGAAGGAACAUCAGUGGCGAAGGCGACACUCUGUACCAAUACUGACGCUGAGGUGCGAAAGCGUGGGUAGCAAACAGGAUUAGAUACCCUGGUAGUCCACGCCGUAAACGAUGUCUACUAGCCGUUGGGUUCCUUGAGGACUUAGUGGCGCAGCUAACGCAUUAAGUAGACCGCCUGGGGAGUACGGCCGCAAGGUUAAAACUCAAAUGAAUUGACGGGGGCCCGCACAAGCGGUGGAGCAUGUGGUUUAAUUCGAUGCAAUGCGAAGAACCUUACCAGGUCUUGACAUCCUACUAAGUUUCCAGAGAUGGAUUCGUGCCUUCGGAAAAGUAGUGACAGGUGCUGCAUGGCUGUCGUCAGGCUCGUGUCGUGAGAUGUUGGGUUAAGUCCCGUAACGAGCGCAACCCUUGUCCUUUGUUGCCAGCACGUAAUGGUGGGAACUCAAAGGAGACUGCCGGUGACAAACCGGAGGAAGGUGGGGACGACGUCAAGUCAUCAUGGCCCUUACGACCUGGGCUACACACGUGCUACAAUGGCCGGUACAGAGGGCUGCUAACCCGCGAGGGGGCGCGAAUCCCAGAAAACCGGUCGUAGUCCGGAUCGCAGUCUGCAACUCGACUGCGUGAAGUCGGAAUCGCUAGUAAUCGCGAAUCAGAAUGUCGCGGUGAAUACGUUCCCGGGCCUUGUACACACCGCCCGUCACACCACGGGAGUGGGUUGCAAAAGAAGUGGGUAGUCUAACCUUCGGGAGGACGCUCACCACUUUGUGAUUCAUGACUGGGGUGAAGUCGUAACAAGGUAGCC